GCCAAUGUGGUGAAAUUGGUAAACACGCACGACUCAAAAUCGUGUGCCGCAAGGCUUGGGAGUUCGAGUCUCCCCUUUGGCACAA
rnacentral:tRNA from 2 species